CACACUCAUGGCGAGCAGAGGGGACGCUGCUGUCUCUGUGCUGGACUGACUGGAGCACCGCUUUUCCACAAUCUUUCGCAAUCCCCCAUGAAUGCAGUGUUGUAAAGAGGCGUGAGUGUCCACAUACUUCCGUCUACAGGCUUUAUCAAGAUAUAAAGCUCACCAUGAACAGCAUGAGCAGUUGCGGCUUUCUGAACAUGGCGACGACAGGAGAUUUCGACCCGCUCAACGCCACAAUUCCUGCCACAAAAGUUGAGAUUACAGUGUCGUGCAGAAACCUGCUCGACAGGGACACAUUCUCCAAAUCAGAUCCAAUCUGCGUGCUUUACACCCAAGGCAUUGGCAACAAAGAAUGGAGAGAGGUGAGCAGAAC